rnacentral:lncRNA from 1 species
UGUGGAAUUAUUAUAAUAGUUUUUUUUUUUUGAGAGAGAGGUAGCACGCUACCCACUUCGUUUAUUUUAUUUAGAAAUAAAUUUAGCUGAAAAUGUGAAUCAACUAGGAUUCGAACUUGGGUCUCGGAAACCAGCCACCAAACUUUUUGCCACUUGCUGUAGGGACGGUCGGUGAAUUAUUAUAAUAGUUAAUGCUGAAUAAAGUCCCUACCCCCUGAAUAAUUAAGAAACUUUUGACCUUGGUAGUCCCUGUGGCUCAAUCAAAACCAUGCUUUGAAGGUAUUUCUAAUAGAAUGUUGCCCAUCACUUUGUUAUCCAGUUUACGAUGUUGUCGUAUCCUUCCCUUUCUCCUUACCUGGCAUGACAUAUCCAUAACUGUUCUGUGUUAGCAGGUCUUACUCUUUUUUGGUCACCGUAGCAAAUUUCCUAACCAUUUUUUUU